rnacentral:rRNA from 1 species
GUCCACAGCCAUACCACCUUGAACACGCCCGAUCUCGGAAGCUAAGCAGGGUGUGGCCUGGUUAGUACUUGGAUGGGAGAAAAUGUGAAGCUAAUAAUUGAAAACC